rnacentral:rRNA from 1 species
AGUGAACGCUGGCGGUAGGCCUAACACAUGCAAGUCGAACGGCAGCACAGUAAGAGCUUGCUCUUACGGGUGGCGAGUGGCGGACGGGUGAGGAAUACAUCGGAAUCUACUUUUUCGUGGGGGAUAACGUAGGGAAACUUACGCUAAUACCGCAUACGACCUACGGGUGAAAGCAGGGGAUCUUCGGACCUUGCGCGAUUGAAUGAGCCGAUGUCGGAUUAGCUAGUUGGCGGGGUAAAGGCCCACCAAGGCGACGAUCCGUAGCUGGUCUGAGAGGAUGAUCAGCCACACUGGAACUGAGACACGGUCCAGACUCCUAGGGGAGGCAGCAGUGGGGAAUAUUGGACAAUGGGCGCAAGCCUGAUCCAGCCAUACCGCGUGGGUGAAGAAGGCCUUCGGGUUGUAAAGCCCUUUUGUUGGGAAAGAAAAGCAGCAGGUUAAUACCCCGCUGUCCUGACGGUACCCAAAGAAUAAGCACCGGCUAACUUCG